rnacentral:miRNA from 1 species
UGGCUCAAAUCUCCAGUCAGACC